AGUUCGAUUUAUCGGGACUGUACUGUCAUAUGAUUUCCAAGAAGUAUCCCCUGAGGUGAUGGUACUUUACUCAGGUCAAGUACUGCUAGUUAGCAAUGAAUCGCCUCAGGGCCUUCUUCGUUAGCGAAAUCCUGACAGCUCUUGUUACACGUCGUGAAAAGCAUAGUAAUUAUCAUUAUCAGAGAUAUAUCAAAACCUGUUAAUAACUAUGUUCUUUGCGAGAAGUUACUAUCUGCAGUUUGUUUUUUGGUGAGUGAAGAUUCUAGAAAAAUGUCAUCCACUACUUUGUCAAAGAUUUAAGUAGACUAAACUACACUCCUUCAUACACGCAAAUGAAUAUCUUUUGAUUCACAAUGGUGAAGAAUUUGCUUCCGUCAAUUUGAAAGGAAACCACAAUUCCAUGCUCCUGCAAAUUAUGCAUCCCGUCUAAAGCAAAUGUAGGGUCUCAUUAAUAAUUGCUUAUAAGUAUUAACAUGCAUACAUUUCUAUUUAUUGUAGUUAUUUUAGUUAGUAUUAUGUUAGAUGUUAGUUUCAGGCACAGCGCCAUUAGGGGAGGGGGGCUGGGGGCUGAAACCCCUCACUUUCUCAGAGAUGAAGCCUUUUUGACCAUGUUUUUAAAAAGAGAAUGUCCACUAACUUAUUUAGGUAUCGCUAUUAUUUGUUCAAUAUUUGCAUCAAUUCAGUAAAUAGCUUUCUGUAUCAUUGCAAUGUCUGCAUUUUGGAUAUGUGAACAUGGCCUGCUGAAAAAUAACCGAGACAAAAGCCUCCAUUUAUUCACACCGAUGUGCAGUUUUAACCAAAGGUCAUCCUUUCUAUCUUUCCCCAACGUCUGACACUAAAGUUUUAGCACGACACCUCUACUCCAAAAUAUUUCCUUGAAAUUAAUAAGAAAAGUUUUUCUGAGUCGGCCAAUUGUCUAUUCUUAGCGGUAUAAUUCAUUAAAUUUCAAUCUGGGUGAUGCAUUUUUAGACAUUCUAGAAAGCUCAAUUUAGACACUCCUAUACAUUAGCAUCUACCUUUUGUCUGUUUACUCUGUAUUUGUAAUUAGUCUACCUAGUUUUAGUUAUCUUUCUUUCUAUCGGCCAUGGGGUAGUCAUUGUUUUUCGCUCCUCAUGGUAUCGUCCCCGUAGUGUAGUACAGUAAUUAGGGUAAUAUAGUCAAUGUAAAAUUGUAUUGUUAUUAAUUUCUAUGAAUAAAAGAAAAGCUCAAUUUCAAAAUUUUCUUCUGCGUCGGGGCAAACCAUAACAGGUCGUCCUAGUUACUAAACUUCAUUAUCGGCCCUCCAGGUUCAAUUUUGUGCGCGCCAUGUCUGAGUUUUAAAAGGUAUUAUUAGAUCUAUAUUGCUGCUGUUGGUAUGCUAGUUGGUAUUAAUUAGCUUAUGGUUACUCUAAAUAAAGUAAUAAAAAGAAAAAAGGAGCCAGUCUUUUCCAGUAACAAGCAUUAUUCAAAAUUAACGCUGGUUUUCAAUAGUUACGAUACGGGUUACGAAGUGUUUAAUAGUUAACAUAGGUAUAUUUUUGUUGGAAUCAUGCGAUUUUAGAAUCAUAUGAAUUAUUCUUGGGACCAAACCCGAAUAGCAAUGGACACUCAUUAAGGUGCCUAAAGAUUUUUCUUUCUAUGUGUUUCAGCCUCCUGCAACAGAAAGCAGUACACGCUCAGAUUAUUUGCUGUUCGGGAAGUUGCAUUGUAAAAAGUGUUAUUUUUCCGCACGUCUAUCUUCACCAUAACAAGCCGUAUUGCAAUGGGUUUUUCAUAGUUUCGAAAUAAAUUUUUGAAUCAUUCAAGAUAAGGAAUCGCAAGGUAGGUUUUUGUUGGGAAGACGAGCAAGCGUAAAUAGGCAGCCCUACGUCCUGGUGUCAGGGAGUAUGCGUGAUAGCUUCAUUCUAUACGCAUACUCUUUGACUCCAGGACGGAGGGUUGCCUCACUCAUUAAAAAACUUCCUCUUGCUCGUCUCCCCAGCAAUUUUGGACUGAAAUUGAAAUAUAGCGAAUGGCCUCGAACAGUGUGACCUGCGGAAGAGGCAGCCAGAGCUUGAAUGGAACCAUGAACAGGAAAUCGGCUUGUUUCAUUGAAAAUCUCGAGUGCAACCGGAAUCUUAUAGUGCUAGGCCAGUUGAGGCGAACUAAAUUAGAUCCUAUACCACGACACAUUCUAGGUAUCUCCGCCAGAUUAAAUUCUGGAGGCGUAGACUGCCUUGCUCUUCGCUGACAGACCUUUCCAUAAAUACUUUGAUCAAAUACCAAAACUAUACAAUUUCAUAUAGCUUUCCACACUCAAUGCAGGGCAUUCAAACAUUCUCCAAACGAUGUGGCAGUCAAGAAUGUGUUGGUUUCAGAAAUCGCACCCCGCUGUACAUUCAGAUAUUCAAUCAGAUUCUAGCAAAGUAGAAAUAAUUUAGACGAUUUUGUAAAUUCGAAUGCCAAAGAGCAAGAGCUUAAAACCUUCUCACAGUUUGGUGCGUGACAUAAAAAUAUUCAAUAACAAGGAAUUUGGCGUGAAAAACAUCAAAUUUCAAGGUGGGUUACACAUUUUGACUGAUUCCUUAUAUACAGAGAAAGGCGUGCUCUAACCUUCUCAUGAAUCUCAUUUUAGGGUCAUUUUAUCUAAAAACAAGAUACAUUAAAUUAACAAUAAUCUAAUCAGAUAUUUUGCAUCCCAAUCGAUUUCGUAACAAUUACUUAUGAAAAGAGAAUAAGUGAUGGGUAAGAGAAAUCGUGGCUUCUAUUUGCAACUGAAAGGAAUUGUUAAGCCGUUCAACCAACUGAUUUGACGACAAAUUAUUCUUCUCUAUAAAUGCGAGCAAAAGCUACUCGCAAAUGCUUGCAAAAUAUUUCGCAUUGGAAUUUUCAGCAAGAAAGUAAAAAGUACGCUUACCUUAAAAAAGUUGUGGGACAGCUUCAAAGUUUUAAUAACUGAUUACUCAAUAAAUUUGUAAAAAAAUGUUUUAUAUUCUUUUUCAUUUAGUAAGAAAGAGACAAUACUUUGAACCUUUAAAAGAAUCAAUGUUUAACCUUAAAGCUUUUCUCGGUACUCUCAAAAUUUCUGAAAAGAUCAUCAAUCAAAAUAUGCUAUGCCAUGAAGCGCAAAAAGGGCCUAUAGUAACUAAACGCACUUGUACAGUAAAGUUCAUUAUGGUCACAUGAUUUUGCCCUUGCAAUUUAAAGCAGCAACUUUGCAAGAACCCUAUGUUUUUGUGGUCAUAAUUCAAAAGUUGAAGUGUCUUUUUAGUUUAAAAGUAUUUUUAAAAAUACUCAGCCCUUGAUUAAUUAAAGAAGUAAGUGUGUAUUUUUUGGUGACCUUGUGUUGGAAAAUCAAAUCAGUUUCAACGCCAUGAUUCUUUUAUCGAAGUGUCACGAUACUUUUUAGGAACUUGCUGUUAACAAAAACUUGCCAUUAAUUGAUUAAGUAAAAUUAUCCGUAAAUAGAAGGGUAAGAAGCCUUGAAGUGAACUUUAUGUAAAGGUGUCAAUGAAGGUAAAAUUCGCAAUGUUACGGGCGAACUUGCUGAAGUUUUUCUCGACGCCAUUUUGGUUUCUCGAGCCCAAUCUUCUAAAAACAACCCCGCGCCAUUUGAAAAUGACGCCAGGUUUCAACUUGCACUCAACUUGGAACGUAAUUUGCUCAAGAAUAUAGUGUUGGAGGAGAAAGCGCAAUGCAAAGAGUGUUACUCAAGUUUACUCAAGUUUUGGUCAUUGAAAGGUUUCGAAUGCGUUCAAGUUGAAGACCGGUGUGUUUUUGCAAAUCGACUAGAAACUUACUACUUUCGAUACAAAAUUGCCAUUACUUGCAAUCAGCAAUGCAAAAUUGCAAUCAGUGGCACAUCUGACGGAUGGUGAAGGGGUGCAACCAAAGAUGGUUUGACAUUAGUUAGCCGGCAACAGCAUUACUUGAUCGACAAAAGACUUCCAAGGUAAACAAAUUAGGGACAAUAUUGUCUUUAUCUUUUAUAUACCCAUAGUAUAUACAUUAUGACUAAAGUACCGUU